UGGCGCAGUGGUUAAGUGCUUGGCUGCUAACCAAGAGGUUGGUGGUUCAAAUUCACC
rnacentral:tRNA from 1 species